ensembl:lncRNA LINC01192 long intergenic non-protein coding RNA 1192
AAGGCCUGCUGUAACCACUCCCUGGUACUGCCUGUGUUCACUCAAGGUCCCGGGGCUCUACAAUCAGCAAAAGGAGUUUUGCCCCAUAACCACCACAGCUGGUAACCUGAAGUCAGAAAGUCUCAGAGGCUCACCAAGGCCCUUGAUGUAGUACCUGGGAAUACCUGGGUCUCCUCACAUAGCAGGACAGCAUUGAAUUCAGAGCCUCACAAUUGCUGUGUUCUACUUCGCCUAGCAACCAGAGAUGAUCCCUGCAACAUGCUGCUGUUGCUGGGAGUGGGAAAGAGGUGGCAUCGGCGGUUCAAGACUGAGUUUUCUAUCUCUUCAGUGCCUCUUUCAACAAUGAAGAUCAAACCAGGUUUUGUGCAAAUAUCUGCUGAGUGAACUACUUAUUUGAAAAUACAUCAUUGGUUAAUAUUCCCUUUUGCUCAUUGAAAUCUCAAAGACUACAGACCCCGCACAAGACAUUCUGACAUUCCCGUCUUUGAAAUGAAUGACAGCAAUGAUAAAUAUGGCUCACCUCCAGAGAUACAGAUCUCACAACUUCAUAUUUUUAAUAUAAAUUAUUAAUCUGAGAAGCAGAGAGAGAUAAGACCCAUGAUAAUCAAGCCAUAAACAGAUGCAUUUACUAGCUGAAUGGCCAACAAUGGAAUUCAACAAAUCCAUCUUGAGCACGGCAGCCAGGAGUGUGGUGCAAUUCCAUUAGAUGAAAGAGAUCUACACAUUCAGAAGCACAUGAUUCUUCCCCCUUCCAUGAUUCCAGUGGCCAAUAGAAUGGAGUGUAGUGGCGUGAUCUUGGCUCACAACAACUUCUGCUUCCCACAUUCAAGCGAUCCUCCCACCUUAUACUCCUGAGUAGCUGGAACCACAGACAAACUACAAUAAAGCCAUGCCCUGACUGGAUGUGCCUAACAUUUGUCUGGUGCUUAAAGGAGUUGGCUGCAUGCGUGGGAUGGAGAAGGAUUCAACAUUUAAUGGCAGUUAGAAUCAAAUUUUUAACUCAAGAAGGCAGAAGGAAUCCACCUAAAUAAAUGUUGGAAAGUCACCAAAAAUAGUUCUCCAAGUCAGAAGCGGUGCAAAAGCUGCCUCAGCUCUUGGUGGAUUUUCAAUUUCUCCCAGCCAUCUCUGUUUCGCUAAAGGUUUCUGAAGACAGUGGGUAUGUGGCAAACUUCUGCAAUUCUAUAUUAAGAUAAACUGUUAGAUCAA